AGGCGAGACGGGAUCGGUCAUGCUGGGUGGUUGCUGCUCGGCCCCUGCGCCGGUUGGUUUGGGAGCAGCAGCGGCUUCGUGUGGAGAAAAUUGGUCUGAAUGAAUAGAAGACUACAGUUUCUGUACAUAUGGCCUGUGUACUAUGAUUUGUACAGAAUUUCUGCAGCUCAAGUUUGGCAGCUUUUCUUCCACCAGAAGAGUGUUCUGGAAGAAAUAUACAGGUUUUAUCUUCACAGGAUCUUUCAAGUAAAUUUCUUACACUGGUACUGUCACAGUAUGCCUUUUUCCG
rnacentral:lncRNA from 1 species